rnacentral:snoRNA from 1 species
AUUAAAUGAUGAAUUUAGUUUUUGCAUUUUUUUCUGGCAUCUCUAAUGUUAGGGCGGGUGUUUAAGUACUCUCCGUUCGAUGAAUACAACUUUUGACUAUAAACCUGAAU